rnacentral:rRNA from 1 species
CUCUACACCCAUACUACCCUGACUGCUCCCGACCUCAUCUGAUCUUGGAGGCUAAGUAGGGUCGGGCCUGGUUAAUACUUGGACAGGAGAAAAGA